ACGGGGGGGGCAAGCGUUGUUCGGAAUUACUGGGCGUAAAGGGCUCGUAGGUGGCCAACUAAGUCAGACGUGAAAUCCCUCGGCUUAACCGGGGAACUGCGUCUGAUACUGGAUGGCUUGAGUUUGGGAGAGGGAUGCGGAAUUCCAGGUGUAGCGGUGAAAUGCGUAGAUAUCAGGAGGAACACCGGUGGUGUAGACGGCUCUCUGGACCGUAACUGACGCUGAGACACGAAAGCGUGGGUAGCAAACAGGA
rnacentral:rRNA from 1 species